rnacentral:tRNA from 1 species
GGUUUGAUAGUAUACGUAGUAUAGCGGGCUCAUGCCCUGAAGGACGGGGUUUAAGCCCCC